rnacentral:rRNA from 1 species
GAUGAACGCUGGCGGCGUGCCUAAUACAUGCAAGUCGAGCGAACAGACGAGGAGCUUGCUCCUCUGACGUUAGCGGCGGACGGGUGAGUAACACGUGGAUAACCUACCUAUAAGACUGGGAUAACUUCGGGAAACCGGAGCUAAUACCGGAUAAUAUAUUGAACCGCAUGGUUCAAUAGUGAAAGACGGUUUUGCUGUCACUUAUAGAUGGAUCCGCGCCGCAUUAGCUAGUUGGUAAGGUAACGGCUUACCAAGGCAACGAUGCGUAGCCGACCUGAGAGGGUGAUCGGCCACACUGGAACUGAGCCACGGUCCAGACUCUUACGGGAGGCAGCAGUAGGGAAUCUUCCGCAAUGGGCGAAAGCUUGACGGAGCAACGCCGCGUGAGUGAUGAAGGUCUUCGGAUCGUAAAACUCUGUUAUUAGGGAAGAACAAAUGUGUAAGUAACUAUGCACGUCUUGACGGUACCUAAUCAGAAAGCCACGGCUAACUACGUG